rnacentral:rRNA from 1 species
GUACCUUUUGUAUAAUGGGUCAGCGACUUAUAUUCUGUAGCAAGGUUAACCGUAUAGGGGAGCCGGAGGGAAACCGAGUCUUAACCGGGCGUUAAGUUGCAGGGUAUAGACCCGAAACCCGGUGAUCUAGCCAUGGGCAGGUUGAAGGUUGGGUAACACUAACUGGAGGACCGAACCGACUAAUGUUGAAAAAUUAGCGGAUGACCUGUGGCUGGGGGUGAAAGGCCAAUCAAACCGGGAGAUAGCUGGUUCUCCCCGAAAGCUAUUUAGGUAGCGCCUCGUGAAUUCAUCUCCGGGGGUAGAGCACUGUUUCGGCUAGGGGGCCAUCCCGGCUUACCAACCCGAUGCAAACUGCGAAUACCGGAGAAUGUUAUCACGGGAGACACACGGCGGGUGCUAACGUCCGUCGUGAAGAGGGAAACAACCCAGACCGCCAGCUAAGGUCCCAAAGUCAUGGUUAAGUGGGAAACGAUGUGGGAAGGCCCAGACAGCCAGGAUGUUGGCUUAGAAGCAGCCAUCAUUUAAAGAAAGCGUAAUAGCUCACUGGUCGAGUCGGCCUGCGCGGAAGAUGUAACGGGGCUAAACCAUGCACCGAAGCUGCGGCAGCGAACGUAUCACCCAAGACAACUUUACGGAGUUGACGAUUGACGGAGCGAAGCGACGUCAAAGCGUUCAUUAAAGUCGAGUUGGCUUAGGGAUACGUUCGUUGGGUAGGGGAGCGUUCUGUAAGCCUGUGAAGGUGGCCUGUGAGGGUUGCUGGAGGUAUCAGAAGUGCGAAUGCUGACAUAAGUAACGAUAAAGCGGGUGAAAAGCCCGCUCGCCGGAAGACCAAGGGUUCCUGUCCAACGUUAAUCGGGGCAGGGUGAGUCGACCCCUAAGGCGAGGCCGAAAGGCGUAGUCGAUGGGAAACGGGUUAAUAUUCCCGUACUUGGUGUUACUGCGAAGGGGGGACGGAGAAGGCUAUGUUGGCCGGGCGACGGUU